ACGCUCGACACCUACGGGAAGCAGCAGUGGGGGAUAUUGCACAAUGGGGGAAACCCUGAUGCAGCAACGCCGCGUGAAGGAAGAAGGUCUUCGGAUUGUAAACUUCUGUCCUCAGGGAAGAUAAUGACGGUACCUGAGGAGGAAGCUCCGGCUAACUACGUGCCGGCAGCCGGUAAUCUGAGCGGGCUGGCAAGGC
rnacentral:rRNA from 1 species